rnacentral:rRNA from 1 species
CGGAUUGCAGUCUGCAACUCGAGUGCAUGAAGCUGGAAUCGCUAGUAAUCGCGGAUCAGAAUGCCGCGGUGAAUACGUUCCCGGGUCUUGUACACACCGCCCGUCACACCAUGGGAGUCGGGAAUGCCCGAAGCCGGUGGCCCGAUCGAAAGAAGGGAGCCGUCGAAGGCAGGCCGGAUGACUGGGGUGAAGUCGUAACAAGGUAAC